AUUGAACGCUGGCGGCAGGCCUAACACAUGCAAGUCGAACGGUAGCACAGAGAGCUUGCUCUCGGGUGACGAGUGGCGGACGGGUGAGUAAUGUCUGGGAAACUGCCCGAUGGAGGGGGAUAACUACUGGAAACGGUAGCUAAUACCGCAUAAUGUCGCAAGACCAAAGAGGGGGACUUUCGGGCCUCUUGCCAUCGGAUGUGCCCAGAUGGGAUUAGCUAGUUGGUGAGGUAAUGGCUUACCAAGGCGACGAUCCCUAGCUGGUCUGAGAGGAUGACCAGCCACACUGGAACUGAGACACGGUCCAGACUCCUACGGGAGGCAGCAGUGGGGAAUAUUGCACAAUGGGCGCAAGCCUGAUGCAGCCAUGCCGCGUGUAUGAAGAAGGCCUUCGGGUUGUAAAGUACUUUCAGCGGGGAGGAAGGCAAUGCGGUUAAUAACCGUGUUGAUUGACGUUACCCGCAGAAGAAGCACCGGCUAACUCCGUG
rnacentral:rRNA from 1 species